rnacentral:rRNA from 1 species
UGGGGAAUAUUGGACAAUGGGCGAAAGCCUGAUCCAGCCAUGCCGCGUGUGUGAAGAAGGUCUUCGGAUUGUAAAGCACUUUAAGUUGGGAGGAAGGGCAUUAACCUAAUACGUUAGUGUUUUGACGUUACCGACAGAAUAAGCACCGGCUAACUCUGUGCCAGCAGCCGCGGUAAUACAGAGGGUGCAAGCGUUAAUCGGAAUUACUGGGCGUAAAGCGCGCGUAGGUGGUUUGUUAAGUUGGAUGUGAAAUCCCCGGGCUAAACCUGGGAACUGCAUUCAAAACUGACUGACUAGAGUAUGGUAGAGGGUGGUGGAAUUUCCUGUGUAGCGGUGAAAUGCGUAGAUAUAGGAAGGAACACCAGUGGCGAAGGCGACCACCUGGACUAAUACUGACACUGAGGUGCGAAAGCGUGGGGAGCAAACA